rnacentral:rRNA from 1 species
AGUGAGCGCUGGCGGUAGGCCUAACACAUGCAAGUCGAACGGCAGCACAGUAAGAGCUUGCUCUUACGGGUGGCGAGUGGCGGACGGGUGAGGAAUACAUCGGAAUCUACUUUUUCGUGGGGGAUAACGUAGGGAAACUUACGCUAAUACCGCAUACGACCUACGGGUGAAAGCAGGGGAUCUUCGGACCUUGCGCGAUUGAAUGAGCCGAUUUCGGAUUAGCUAGUUGGCGGGGUAAAGGCCCACCAAGGCGACGAUCCGUAGCUGGUCUGAGAGGAUGAUCAGCGACACUGGAACUGAGACACGGACCAGACGCCUACGGGAGGCAGCAGUGGGGAAUAUUGGACAAUGGGCGCAAGCCUGAUCCAGCCAUACCGAGUGGGUGAAGAAGGCCUUCGGGUUGUAAAGCCCUUUUGUUGGGAAAGAAAAGCAGCAGGUUAAUACCCAGCUGUUCUGACGGUACCCAAAGAAUAAGCACCGGCUAACUUCGUG